rnacentral:lncRNA from 1 species
UUAAAGACUUAUUGCAUAACAGAGAUGUAAUAAUUAAUAUGGAGCAGCCCCAGUUGUAGCUGUAGCGCACGCAGCUCCCUCCCCCUUUCCUCUACGUCACAGCUUCCCGGUGCAGCCUUUACGGGUUGCUAUGACGACGGCGUUGCAGCUCGUCUCUAAAGGCAUUCACGGCUUCUGCUUGUUCUGUUUGGGAAAACUCCUGUCGACCACAACAGAGAAAGUAACCACGAUAUCACCAUGAAGUACAUGUGUUAACUAAUGGCGACUUUAAAAGAAGUGGGUCUCACAGCUGUGAAUGGACCAGACAAGGAGCUUCGCACACAGGAGGACGCAGUUAGGGAGCAGCCUUACAAGACAGCAGAGAGGAGACAUGUUGAUGCCCUUCUAGAUAUUAGUGAGGAGGACUUCUUCAAAGAGCUGGAGCCACAUGAGUAUCACUGUUACUCUGGUUGCGAAGAAGUUGUCCGGGGUUGGGCCAGAGUCGCUCCACUGAGCUGCAUACUUUUGACUCAGAAGAGAUACAAGAAACCAAAGCAUAAAGAGGCUGACAGCGCGAUCACUCUGUCCCCUGACCCAACAAUCCCUAAUGCAGACAACUCAGCCAGCAUUGCAGAGCACCACUGUGAGUCUCGUGUGGGAGCAAAUAAGAGCUUUAAGAAAUCCACGCCGUCAAACCAGCACGAAGGAACCUGGAGUAACACUACUGUGGCAGCUCUGCACAAAGCUGCCUCGGAAUGGCCUGUCCUCAAUGCAAUGCAGAAAACCACUUCAAAACUCUCACUGGAAGAAAAGAUAGAGGAGGAAGGGAUGCUCAGAGAGACUUCUUUGCAGAACAGGCCCACUAAGCCUCAGAAACACGGCCAUAGGCCCAAUAAUGCCGUGGUUCCCAUUAAAAACUUCACGUUCUUACCACCAAUUAAAUCACCACACCUGAAUCCUCAGAGAGUCGCUGGCCAGCUCUGCAGUAGCAAGAAGGCUCCAGAAGAAGAAACCAUAGAAGACAACAGUUUCAUGUUUGAUAAGAAGAGUGGGAUGAAGGGAACGAGAGUGGACCCUGUUGUUAACCUAGAGCUUCCCACUUCCACUGCAGGCCUCACCUCCAGGUAUCGGACAUGUCAGCAUAACCCCCACUUGUUCUCUGCUGUAAGUGUUUCUAUCCCCAAGAGGUAUCAGGUGCCUCUGUCUUCCAAACCUGACAUAGUGCACCACACUAGCUUCUCAAUGGGCAAGAGCCUCACACAGGCCCUCCAUUCCGGCAAUGCAGCAGGUGCACAAGCCCGUAUGCACCCCAGCAAGACUGUGUGUGCUGUCAAGAUGUAUGAAGGCUGUGAAAUAAAUGUUUAA